AUCAGAUGGUGGUGGUGGUGGUGGUGCUGAUCAUCAUCAUCAUCAUAUCAUCAUCAUAUCAUCAUCAUCAUCAUCAUCAUCAUCAUCAUCAUCA
rnacentral:miRNA from 1 species